GACGCAGAAGUGACAUGGGUGACUAGGGGUGAAGUGGGUGGAACCCUUAAUUGGGAGCACCUCCAUUCCGAGGAAUGGAUUCUUUGUUUUCUCUCGCUGGUAAGAGACUCCUUUCGCUUUGUUCUGCUUAUCUACUGCCAAAGGUGGGGUGGGAGGAAGGAAACUGAGUCCCUGAAGCCUGACAUUCCUCCACUGCCAUAGGCAGUAUGUCUCUGAAUACCAGUUGUUGGGAAUCGCAAGUGAGGAGAGGGUCGUUGCACUCAGAUCCUUUUUGCAGGCUUCCCAGGGUCACCCUGUGAGAACAGGAUGCUGAAUUAGACGAGCUAUGGGCCUGAUCCAACAGGCUCUUCUUAUCUUCUGAUCACUGUGAUCCUGCUCCAUAGAGCUGACCCCUCCCUGUCUUUUGGACCACUCUCUGGAGCAUAGUGCAGCACAACCUCCACCUACAAAAACACAGGUACCAAUAGAUGCUAUAUUCCUUUGCACGUCAGCCAUCAAACACAGCCAUGCAUUCAAUGUCAUCGGUCAUCAAGCCUAGGCAGAUACUGCAGGCCAUUGCAUGUCAGCCAUCAAACAACCAGUUGCUAUGUGCCAUUGCAUGGUUAACAUUAUCAAAAACCGCCAAUGCAGCUCGAUAAAUCCCACCUCGUCUAUGAAACAAUCCCCAAUGCUAACUGCCCAUAUUCUCUCUUCUACUUCUGAGCCACCCCCAUCACCCCCCUGCACCCACCCAUCCCUGCUUCGCUUCCUCCCAGCAACGGCCUCAGAAGCGGAGCCGAUUAAUCCUGCUGCAUUGGCGGAGCAGAUCUGACUCAAUUAGCUGCAGCUCGGAGGCUCGGGCGACAGCUCUGGGACGGCUUCCAAGUCUCAUUCAUCACCGCAGAAAAUUCUCGAAGCCGGAGAGCCGAGGAAUAGAGUGUUCUGUGUUCCCAGAGCCAAGGCGAUGGGGGGGGGGGUGCAGAGAGCAAGGGGGCACGAUGCCAAGCAAUCUUAGGUUGGCUUUGGAGAACUAUUUUGGAAAAGGUCUCUCUGCACGUGGUGGGCCUCCCCAGGGCAAAGGAAGGCUAGCGCUCACCCUGAACCCCUUCCAAUUAUUGCCUUUUUGUAUGCUGGUGGCAUAAGAAGGGGUGAAUCUACCCAUUUCAGUUUCUCUCGCUUUCUAAUUUUUCCAAUCUCAUUUAGGCUGCCUAUCCACUUACACAUUUAAAGUACAUAGAUUCCCGCAAAGAAUCCUGGGAACCAUAGUUUGCCCUUAUACAGAGCACCCUUAAUAAACUACAGUUCCCAAGAAUCUUUGGGGGAAGUUAUGUGCCUUACCAGCGCUCGGGGUGUGCUUUAAGCAUAUGGUGUGAAUGCAGCCUUAGUUGUUUCUAAGACUUCUUUCUUCCCCUUCCCCAGGAAGUCCCAGGAGGAGUAACAGCAAUAAAAUAUACAAUUAUAAAAACAGAUAAAAGCCAUUGCAAUUAUAAAACAGGUAAAACUGUUCCAAGUGGGAACAGGAUGGUAUAAAGCCAGCCAAAGACAUGUGUCCCACAAAACAAAAUACCUUUAACUCUCAAGGGCCAGGUUAACAAUAUCCAAAGGCCUGGAUAGCUUAGUUGGUUAGAGCGUGGUGCUGAUAGUGUCAAGGUUGCAGGUUCGAUCCUUGUAUGAGACGGUUGCAUAUCCCUGCAUUGCAGGGGGUUGGACGAGAUGGUCCUCAGGAAUUCCUUCCAAUUCUGGAAUUCUAAAGUUCAAUUCACUGCAUUUCUACACCAGUUUGCAAUAAAAAAUAAACAGCCCUCGUGAAAAUUGACCCAUUUCACAGAAUCACAGAUUUGUGGGGUUCAGAGAGACCCCAAGAAUCACCUGCAAUGCUGGAAUAACAGCUCAAGAAUCCCUGAUAGAUGGCUGUCCAAGCUCUGUUUGGAAACCUCCAAUGAAGGAGAUUCCACCACAUUCCGAGGUCGUGUGGUGUAGUGGUUAAGAGCGGUAGACUCGUAAUCUGGUGAACCGGGUUUGCUUCCCCGCUCCUCCACAUGCAGCUGCUGGGUGACCUUGGGCUAGUCACACUUCUCUGAAGUCUCUCAGCCCCACUCACCUCACAGAGUGUUUGUUGUGGGGGAGGAAGGAAAAGGAGAAUGUUAGCCGCUUUGAAACUCCUUAGGGUAGUGAUAAAGCGGGAUAUCAAAUCCAAACUCCUCCUCUUCUUCUUCUUCGUCCCUUCCACUGUCGAACAGCUCCUGCCCUCAUAAAGUUCUUCCUAAUGUUUGGUCAGGAUUUCCUUUCUUGCCAUUUGAAUCCGUUGGUUCAGGUCCUCCCCCUCUGGAGCAUCAAGAAACGAGCUUGCUCCAUCUUCCAUGUGACAGUACUUCAGAUAUUUGAUGACAGCACUUCAGAUAUUUGAAGAUGGCUAUCAUAUCACCUCUCAGUCUCCUCUUCUCCAGGCUAAACAUAAUCCCUCAACCGUUUCUUAUGAGCAGUGCCAGAUUUACGUAUAAGGUAAACAAGCUAUAGCUUAGGGCCCCACUCUCUUGGGGACCCCAAAAAAAUUUAAAGGAAAAAAACACACCUGGAUGUACAUUUCCAAAAUAUAAGAUAAAAAACAAAUAAAUAAAACCUACAUACAGCAACAGUGUUUUGUGUUGUGUAAGCUCCUAUUUGUUACCUGCAAAUUGCUUUAGAUACCUAUUAGGUCCAUAAAUUACCAUUUAGCAUAUUUGUUGUUGUUUAGUCGUUUAGUUGUGUCUGACUCUUUGUGACCCCGUGGACCAGAGCACGCCAGGCACUCCUGUCUUCAACACAAAAAACGGCGGCAAUUUGUUGUUGACAAAGGACAGCUGGACAUAUAAAGGGUCCCAUUACCUUUAGUAGCUUAGGGCCUCAUCAAACCUAAAUCCGGCCCUGCUUAUGAGGCAGACUGUUGAUCAUCUUGGUCUCUCUCCUCUGCAUAUGUUCCAGCUUCUCAACAUCCUUCUUAAACUGUGGUACCCAAAACUGGACUCAGAACUCCAGCUGACAGUUGACCAAGGCAGAAUAGAGUUCUGCUACUGCUUCCCUUGAUCUGGACGCUGCUUCUGUUUGAGAGUACACACAUUUCUGUUAAUGCACAGGCUUUAGUGUGAAAUUUUGCCUAAAUUAGACAUUCUUACCAGAAACGUCCCCUAAUGUAAUGCACUGCAGCAUGUUAUUUUGACUGUGCUACAUACCAAUAUGCACACAUCCCCCCGAUAUAUACAUUUUUAAAAGAACACAGUUUUGGAUCAGAAGACUGCAUCAUGAAAUUCAGAGAAGACCCGGUCUUGAAGGCUUGCCGUGUUUCCAUCCACAUGUGGUUUCAGGAACUGCAGAUCUGGGUGGGUGUGCUGGCCCCGGGGAUAAUCUGAGAAACACGGUCCAGGUCAGGUCCCAAAUCUGAAGGUUCCGCUAGGAGUCAGUCCAACACGGCCAAGGCAGGAUACGAGGCAGGAAACCAGGCAAGGACAGGUACAGGAUCUCAGGCAGGAUCUGGCAAACAGCAAUGUUGCUCCCGCAACCUGGGGCGGGGUCUGACAGCCUUUUAUCUUUGUUGGGGUAACAGCCGGUCCUGAUCCCCUGGCAACUCACUUCCCUGUUUCGCCCGAAGGCGAGCACUCCUCCUGCGAGUACUCAGGUCUCUCCUUCUCGCAGACCUGGGUCUCUGCAGCUCGGAAGACUUCGGUAGGUUACUAGACCCAGGGGCACCUCAGCCUCCCCUAACCAAACCAGUAGUGGAGCAGCUGUAAGUGAUGGCCCAGCUGAAGGCAACGAGGUAAUCCCCGCAUCUGGAGCCAGGGCAGGCUCAGGCCCCUGACUCACCCCAGCUGGUGUUUGUUGCAGGGGAACCUGUGUAGACUGGGACUCUUCAGCAUCAGGUCCCAGACUGGGUUCAGAUGAUGUCUGAAGCAAAGGAUCCAGUGCAGACUGAGACUCCUCUGGUUCCAAGUCUGAGCCCGAGACCCCGGCCAUCACAGUGGGUUUGCAUUAAAAUGUGACCUGAACUUAAUUUCUCCCUCCGCGGACCCCCACCUCCAGCAACGAGGGCUUGAUGCUCACUUGUGUCGGGCCUGAAUCACCUCCCGCUCCAGAUUGGGGAGCUCAUCAGAUGGAUGAGCUCUCUCCGCAGCUCGCCAAUAAAAAAAAUUCCUCCACAUGGAAAACUAGCCUAAGCUUCUCCCCCAACAAGUUAUAAGGCUGUAACCUUAAGCAUGCUUACUUGAAAGUUAAAUCGAUAGGACUGUCUUCAGAGAUGGUGUGUUUUGAGAUGGGAGCAUUAAAAUGAAAUACGCAGUUCAUUCUCUGUCAGGAAUCUGCCGUGAGAGAAAGCCUCCCUCCCCGUUCAGAAAUGCACUUUGCCCCCUCUGUAAGACACGUGCCGGAACAUUUCCGCAUACCUCCACAGGGGCUUGAAGCGUGAUUUUUAAAAUAUGGAACCAGGGCUUAGCUUUGAUCCAGAUUGGGAGCGGGAGACUUCCCCCUGCCAGGUUUUUGGCUCAUUAAGCGGGGAGAGCCUGGAAGUUCAGGAUGUUGGUGUCUGGAUCUGUGUGUGGCUGCCCCUUGUGUUGAACCCCUGAACUGUAGGUGACAGUCUUUUCAGUGAAGUACCUUCAGGCCCUAGACCAGGGGUCAGCAAACUUUUUCAGCAGGGGGCGGGUCCACUGUCCCUCAGACCUUGUUGGGGGGCCAGACUAUACAGUGGUACUUCAGGUUACAUACGCUUCAAGUUACAGACUCCGCUAACCCAGAAAUAGUGCUUCAAGUUAAGAACUUUGCUUCAGGAUGAGAACAGAAAUUGUGCUCCGGCGGCGCGGCAGCAGCAGGAGGUCCCAUUAGCUAAAAUGGUGCUUCAGGUUAAGAACAGUUUCAGGUUAAGUACGGACCUCUGGAACGAAUUAAGUACUUAACCUGAGGUACCACUAUAUUGGGGGGGGGGGGAUGAACGAAUUCCUAUGCCCCACAAAUAACCCAGAGAUGCAUUUUAAAUAAAAGGACACAUUCUACUCAUGUAAAAACACUGAUUCUUGGACCGUCCGCAGGCCGGAUUUAGAAGGUGACUGUGCCGGAUCCGGCCCCCGGGCCUUAGUUUGCCUACCCAUGCCCUAGACUGUCUGUCCACUGAGGCUGGCCAUGGGACAGGAAAGAGUAUAAAAGGCUUCCUGUUCCAUUUGAGUCAUUCUUAGAAUCAUAGAAUCAUAGAGUUUGAAGGGACCCUGAGGGUCAUCCAUUCCAACCCCUGCAAUGCAGAAAUCUCAGCUAAAGCAUCCAUGCCAGAUGGCCAUCCAAUCUCUGCUUAAGCAGAGUCCCAGCCUCCUGAGGGAGUCUGUUCCACUGUCAGACAGCUCUUACUGUCAGAAAGUUUUUCCAUAUGUUUAGUCAGAAUCUCCUUUCUAGUAACUUAAUUGCAUUGGUUUGAGUCCUACCCUCCAGAGCAGGAGAAAACAAGUGUCCUCCAUCUUCCAUGUGGCAGCCCUUGAGAUAUUUGAAGAGGGCUAUUGUAUUUCCUCUCAGUCUUCUCUUUUCCAGGCUAAACAUACCCAGCUCCUUCAACCAUUCCCUUGACCUGGACACUCUACUUCUGUUGAUGCAGUCUAGAAUAGCAUUAGGGUUGUUGCUUUUUGCUACUGCUGCUGCUGCAUCACACUGUUGACUUAUGUUAAGCUUGUGGUCCACUAAGAUCUCUAGAUCCUUUUCACGUGUGCUGCUAGUAAGCCAGGUGUCCCCCAUCCUGUAUUUGUGCAUUUGGUUCUUCCUGCAUAACUGCAGAACCUUACAUUUGUCCCUAUUGAAAUUCAUUUUGUUAGCUUGGGCUCAGUUCUCCAAUCUGUUAAGGUUCUCUCUGAGCUCAGGUGUGUUCCUGAAUCUGGUUUCUGGCUUGCUUCUUGACCCUACCUCAGUGGUGGAGAAUGAAGUCCAGUUAACAGGCUAGGGAGCAAUACCUUGCUCACCCACCCACCAGGCCAAAUUGGACAGGUGGGUGGAGCUACCUACCUGUCAAUCACCUGACACCACAAUGACAUCAAGUGAGCCAUUUUUGCCCAUGCAGAUGAUCAGCUGGUCUCCAGGCCCUGCCUAGCUCCAUGUGUGGCCCCUGAGACCCCCAACGAUCAGCAGAUUGCCAAUACUGUGUGCAGGGCUUUGCAGGAGCCAACAAUCAGUUGAUGGUUCUCCUCUUCUGCCAUUUUACACUUAAAACAACCCUGCAAGGAAGGUUAGGCUGAGAAGCAGCGACUGGCCCAAAGUGACUCAGUGAGCUAGAAAUUCAGUCCUUGGCUGGAUCUAGACACUUCAAAAAAAUGUUUCAGGAAAACGUGCUCACAAUGCGAAAUAAUUGUCAAAGAAUCGAACUCUACAGUGCCCUCUGGUGUCACAGUGUUAUAACGCAUUUAGAACAUUUUUUUUUUUACUAAUGUAGCUGAGUCCCUUGUCUCAACGCUCUAACUACUACAUCACACUGGCUCUUUCCCCCUCCCAGUUAUAUCCUUGCAACAACCUGGUGAGGUAGCUUGGGCUGAGUGGGGGAUUUGAACUCUGGUCUCCCAGUACCAAGUCUAACACUCUAACCAUUACACCGCCUCUGGGCCUCCUUGCGACGGACGGUCUCCUUGCUAGCAAAUCCUAAGAACAGCUAGGAAACAGGACAAUCGCCAGUGGCUUCCUGCUGCCUCUUCCCACGUGGAGGACACUUUCCUCCCUGUUCCUUCCCUAUCGCAGCUCAUUUGCCAGGUACCCCCAUUCUCAGCUCAGCAGGAACUCCCUACGGGACUCACUAAUGUUGCUGCAACAUCCCCCACAGGGGUUGACAACAACGAACUCACCCUCUCUGUGGCUCCAAGCAAUUGGAAACUCUGCUCUCUUGUUGCAUCACACACUCUCUCUCACACACACACACCCAUUAAGGUCUCCAGGCUCCUAAUGAGUCCCAGGCAAGCACUCACAAAUGUGGCUCUAGGAAACGAUAAUUGGCUAAGGAAGACAGGAAGAAACCAGCAGCAUCUGCCCUAAGGGACAUUCCAUCAACUGGCUCAGCAUCUGAUCCAGUCCCUGGUGUGCUGGGGGGGGGGGGAGAGAGAAAAUGAUAGAAUCAAAGGACUGAAGGGGGUUCUUGUUGACACCAUCUACACCAAACUUCUGUCUGAUCUAGAGUAGCUCCAAAUGAUGUCCUCCAGCCUCUGCUUGGAGACUUCCAGGGAAGGAAAGCUCACCUCCUUCCUUGGUCCCUGGUUCUGUUCUCAAGCUGCUCCCACCUUCAAGACAUUCCCCUACAGCAUAUUUGCAGGAAGGUGGUGGAUGGCUAAUGAAGGAUCCUUUAUGAGAGGCAGGGAAGGAAAGAUCUCCCAGGGUGGGGGUCCAGAAGAAGACAUUGAAGCUCCCAGCUGAGAGCUGGGAACGUCCACCCCCUUUUGUGUGAAACAAGGGUUAAGAUCUACUCCUGACAGAGGGCUUUAGAUUCUCUCUCUUUCUCUUUCUCUUUCUCUUUCUCUUUCUCUUUCUCUUUCUCUCUGUCUCUCUUUUCCCUCCUAUUUCCUCCCUCCCUCCCUGCAUGCCAGGUGCUGCAAACUGCAGGAGGGAAGAGUUGCUCUCGCACUCGGGUCCGGCUCUUGGCCUCCCCUUAGGUAUCUGGUUGGCCCCUGUGAGGGCAGGAUGCUGGACUGCAUGGGACACUGGCCUGAUCCAGCAGGACUCUAUGUUUCUAAUGCUCAACUGAAAUCUAACCUCCUUUAACUGCAUGAGAGCUAAUUGUGCCCUGUGGAUCUGCAGCGAAGAACACGUCUUUGCUCUCUUUUGUGUGACAGACCAUCCAAAAUUUGAUGGACACCAUCAUGCUCUCCGUUGAGUCUUCUGUUCAACAGGCUAACCAUGCCCUGUUCCUUCAACCCUUCCCCACAGGACUUCUUUCCCAUAUUCCUGUCCUUGAACUCUGAUAAUCUUGGCUGUGAAUCCUGGAAGACCUGCUCCCUGCCCUGCAAGCCUUUUCCCACCUAGCCUGGUUGGGUGGGGCCGUGACUGACUCCAGCUACAAAAUCUGAGGCUGCUGGAGAAGCCAAAGAUCAUACCUUUCAGUAGUUUCUGGUGUGGGGCAGAUGUUGUAUCUAGACUCCCGCUCCCCAGCUGCCCUUUUCUACUUAGAAAUCUUCUUGUGCAAAUUGCUGGAAGUUAUUUUUACCCCUGCUUUGACGGACUGGCACAUGGAUUUAUUGAGGUCAUGUUUUCCCACAAGUUUCAUUUUUGCAGCAAAUCACGUUCAGUCCAGGGACCUGGGCUGAAUCAAACUUCUUUUCUAAGUAUAUGCAGCCGUCAAAGCUUGCUGCUUAAAGAAAAAAAGGGGGCAGAAGUGAAAUAAAGACAGGUUGUGUUCUUGGUCAUGCAGGACCCAGAAUUUUGUCUUGAGAGGAAGGAGGAAGCCGCAGAAGCUGUGCCUGACGUUCGGCUUCCGAGGCAAAGUUCGCAAACCGGAACACCUACUUCUUGUGAACUAAGCUGUCCAAAAACCAAGGUACGACUGUACUUUGAACCUGACCGAGUAGCAAACCAGCAAGUGGUGCAAUUCUCUCAGCAACAGAGUAAUGUGUUGCCAGUAAUCUGGUCCUGUGAGCCAUCUGGUCCCUGCAUUCUGCACCAGGGCAGCACCGCAAAAAGCAUGUUACAGUAAUAAAGUCAUCCCCAUGAACGAUACAGUCCAAGCCAAAUUGGUGGAGGUGGCCCUAGCUGACUCUUCUCCACAUAACCUGGGGUUCUGUCUCUUGGUCACACUAGGGCGUGAUGCAACCAAUAAAUAAAGCAAUGAAUAAAAGAACCUCUGAAGGUGGUUCUUUGGAGGUUCUUAAGCAGAGGUUGGGUGGCCACCUGUUGGGGAUGCUUUAGUUGUGGUUGCAUUGCAGGGGGGUGGUCAAGAUGACCCUCUUCAAGUCUAUGUUUCUAUGAUUCUAUAACUCGCCCCUCCCCCUCGAGAUUUCUACAGUAGGAAAUCAGUAUUUCAGAGCUGAGGAGGAUUCUGACCAGCACUGGUGGAAUACCAACAGGAGUGAGGAGAGGUGAAAGUGGAGAUGCAUCUGCUUGCCCAGCCUUGGAGAAGGAUAAAGUUUCUGGUGGUAUUUAUCUUCAUUCUAGUAGAAGAUCUUUCUCCAAGCCUUUCAGGUGGAGAUCCAUUUCGGAUUUGAAAUUGUUUUUCCAUUCGAAAUUGCUUUUUGUUGUUUGUGUAUAGGG